UAGGAGUGCAUUCCCUUGUAAAAAGAACUGUCGAUCCAAUCAUCGCGGACAAAUGUUUGAAACUCAAUACUGCUCCAUGCGCGAUACAAAACGGCACGCAUAUGAAAAAUGAUAUCAUCUACAAUCAAGGAAUUCUAACGCUUUAGCCGAAGGUGUUAAACCGUGUUGAGAAAGGUACUCGGGAUUACAGAACUUGCUUAAAUGCCUCAUCCCACUGUCACACAAAAUUGUUACAACAGUAUGACCCGGGCCCAAUAAUCUCGCUAGUCUCACUGCUCCAACACAGUUCAUUGCAGAAGAACUUCCAAUAAAAAGCCCAUCAUUCUUCAACAGGAAUCUGUUGGUGGUAAUUACAAAAAUGCCACCUUACAUUUCGACAGCUUCAAUAUCAGUGCCUUUAAAAGCUCCAUCAAGUUGAGCCAUUUUAAAAUUUUCCGUUAAUCUAUUAAUCCCAAUUCCUUCGGUUAUAGUAUCAAAUGGAUUCUUUAAUCUCUUUCCUUCAGCCUCUUCUUUUGUGUACAUCACUCC
rnacentral:lncRNA from 1 species